rnacentral:rRNA from 1 species
AGUGAAUAGAUACCCCGGUAGUCCACGCUGUAAACGAUGAGUGCUGGACGUUGGCGGGUUUACCUGCCGGUGUCGCAGCUAAACGCGUUAAGCACUCCGCCUGGGGAGUACGGCCGCAAGGUUAAAACUCAAAGGAAUUGACGGGGGCCCGCACAAGCGGUGGAGCAUGUGGUUUAAUUCGACGCAACGCGCAGAACCUUACCAGCCCUUGACAUGGGCGGACGGGGUCCAGAGAUGGACUCUUUCUCGCAAGAGACCGCUACACAGGUGCUGCAUGGCUGUCGUUAGCUCGUGUCGUGAGAUGUGGUUAAGUCCCGCAACGUAGCGCAACCCUCGUCUCCAGUUGCCAUCGGGUAGAGCCGGGCACUUUGGAGAAACCUGCCGGUGACAAGCCGGAGGAACGUGGGGAUGACGUCAAGUCCGUCAUGGCCCUUACGGGCUGGGCUACACGACGUGCGUACAAUGGCGGUGACAGAGGGCAGCGAAGGGCGACCUGGAGCUAAUCCUCAAAAGCCGU